CACGUGUAGGUCCACUUUGCCCAAUCUGCUCCAUACGCUCCUCCCACCCGAUCCCCAUCCUCUCGUUCACAACCCUAGCCCCCUUCCUCUCGAUCCUCAUGGCCCAUCCCUCCUCCUUGCUCGUCACCGCCGCUGCCUGCUGCUCCCUCUCCACCACCGUUGCUGCUUAUUGAUCACAAUAUCCCCUCUACCUAAUUCAGAUCGGGCGCAGGUUAGGCGAGCCUGAUGGUGGGUUGGGUGAGGCUACAGGGAGAGGGAGGAGGCCGGCGGCGUGGUGAAGGAGUUGACUUGCCCUCAUGGAGGCGGCGCCAUCGGCCAGGGGCGUCAUUUGCUCGUCGGACACCGUCCGAGCUCGUCUCACCCUCACAGCAACGACCAACAACUCAAGUAGGAAGGGUGAGGGCCCAUCAAGAUCUAGCCCAGGGCGUGCUCCCUGGCGCCCGCACAUAGAGGACUGGCCUCUGGUCGCCGGUUGGUCCUCCUCUUCUCCCCUCGUGCCACCGGCCUCCACCUCCUCCAUCCCUCGAUUCAGCAAAGGCGACGGGGAUCAAGAACCGGGGCGGCACACAUCAUCCUCCCGUUUCUCCUACCACCGACCCUAGAGAUGGCAGCGGCAAGGAGUUGAGCCAGGUGACUCGAUGAGGUGGUCCAUGCUGAGGAAUAGGGCGUCCAUUUGGCUUGUUUUCCUUUUGAUUUUCCUCGCUUACCUGAUCUGAUUUUGUGGUCAAAACAAGGGCUGACUCCGUGUCUGGUCUGAUUUGCUGAUUUUCCUCUUCCAGCUCCUGUUGAUGGCCUUGUUGUGGUUGCACCAUGGUCCGUGGGGAACAAGAACACCACUACUACAACCCAAGUCUGGACAUAGCUUUAGCAGGUUACAUUAUCAAAUUUGGAAGAAAAAAAUCCUAGCAAACCAGCUACAGCCUACAGGAUCUAGGAACAAAGGUAACCAAUCAUUAAGAAUAAGGGGAAAGAAAUGACAAGGCAUAAUAAACAUACACAAAAUUAUAAUCUAAUUAUUGAAAGCUGAACUACCAUUUUAGACAGGAUAACAAGCGUCUAAUUGGUCGAACAACACUGAAAGGGGCCUAACCAGCUUAAUGCAAGAAAUGUAAACUUUGUUGAGCCAUACAUAGUUACACAUUUUAAUGGCAGGAUCAUGGUUCAAGCAAAUAUGAAUCUAGUGGCCACUUCCCCUUGGCAAGCAGUCGAAAUAGACUCAUAUGGUUUUCCUUGACAUGUGUGUCAUCAUAGAUGAGUCAGUAAAGCAUGCUGCAGUCAGCUAGCCGCAAAUGAAGUAAAAAAUAAAUGUAAAAGAGACCAAAUAUGUAGUGUGCAACCAAAUAGAUGUACAAAUUAAAUACGCAGUCACAUAGAGAUGUCAUGAUCAACAGAUUUUUCUAACCAAUUAACAUCUCUCAUUAAUUGUGAGAACCAAGCCAAUGAAAAUGGGCAUGAAUCGGUCUUGUCAAAGUCUACUAUUCAGUGCUUGCAUAUGUCAGAUUGCUGAUGUUCACAAAACUGCAUGUACCUUUUGCCAACAAAAUUGUCGAUGAAUUGCAGAUUUAGAAAAUUAGUUUGGCAUAGCUCAGAACUAUUUGCCUUGACUCAAAUCAAGGUUGUUCGAUAUCAUGAAAUAAGCAACAUGCCUCUUGUGAAACCAUAUUUUAAAUUUGCAAUUUGCAAACUGGGUUUUUGUUUCUCGCACUUUUUCUUUUAAAACAUCACCAGAACUUAGGGUCACAAUUAAUAGUAAGGUGCAAUCUCAGUCAUUAAGUGACAUACUUCAGUUUAGACUUUGCAGAGCAAGAGCUGUUUAUCAAUAUUUUCCGUUACAAUGCCUGCAUAUGUAUACAUAAGUUCUUAUGUUUUCAGAACACUCUAGCUAGGCUUAACUAUUUCUGUUGACAAAUCACAUUCUUAUCUUAAAAUACUAUAAGAAGGCUAGCCAACUUGGCCUCACAACGCUCCCCCAGUUUGGAGCUUCAUUUGCUGUUAGAUCUUGUUCAUUUUCGUCAACUGCGCUGGUUCAGCCGUUCGAUUCUUGCAUCUUGUUUUGACUUUGCGUUUGUUUUUCUUGGCCCAUGACUGGUGGGGCGUUUGGCGUUGCUAUUGGCUGGGUGAAGCGUUAUCUGGGUGCGAACUAACCUGUCCUUGCACGCCGCGCGGCGUGUGAUGCAUCGUUCGCGGUGGUUGCGAGGUGAUGGACUGACGCGUGCAUAUCUGUGGCUACCUUUGCGCACUAUGACUGGUGGACUAAGUUGGAUGUCGGUCCCAUUGGUCUGUGCCUUGUGAGAGAUGGGCUGCUUUUAUCAUGUGACUUUUUGUCCUGCGAGUGCGAAUGCGUCUCGUCUACGGGAGAGAGAGGGAGAUGUGCUGCCGACACGGUCGUGCCUGCCUUUCUUCACUAUGACCGGUGGGACAAGUUGGAUGCUGGUCCUACACGUCGGUGGGUUGGCUUGAUUCUGUUCGUGUCGUUGAGCUUAUCUGGGGUUAGACAGAGAAACAUUCUUUUUAUUGUUUCCAGAGAUCAAGAUAUCGCAAACCAUUCAUGGGAUUCAAAGGGAUAUGCAACAUAUGUGGUGCCUUAUGCAAGCUAAGCCGGGUUAUUGAAGUAAUUGUUCUUCGGUGCUUAGUCGUCACAUGAACAUGAUGAACGUGAAUAGACAACGAAAGAACGGAAGAAGGGGAUAAAGUUCCUUGCGUCGAUGCAUGUACCCAUUCGGCCAGCCAUAUCGUCGUUCUUCCCCAAAGAUCUUAUCCAUAUAUAGGUCAGCAAAUAAGUGGAAAAGAUAGAAAGACAGAGCCUUGGUUAUGUUUUUGUUGGCAAAUAAUCUGGAAUAGUAGCAGUUAUGGCCAACAUGAUUUGUUAUGAUAUACUCCCUCCAUAAACAAAUAUAAGAGCGUUUAGAUCACUGAAGUAGUGAUCUAAAUGCGCUUAUAUUUAUUUACAGAGGAAUUACUUCAUAAUGCAGAGGAAGGUCGGGUUCUGGAAAUCGGAGUCAAUGGUGGACCAGAGAGGUGUUUGUGCAUCAUGCUUCUGUUUGAAAAAACUAUGAUCAUUGUUUCGUUAGGUGUCCUCUUCUUAGUUCAUGCUGCAGCUAGAAUAAAAUGCUUUGAUUUUCCUUUGUGCUCGGUGUUGGUAGUUAGCAGAGUACUGGAAAUAUAGACGCUCCAACAAAACCCACUAAAAAUGAUAGGGUACAUAAGUAACUUGCCUUAUCUAGCUCAUGCUUCGAGGAGCAGUUUGAAACUUCUGUUUCUGGUUUUUUGGGGAGAUAUUCUAGCUGAUUUAUUCUGGUCAUUCUUGCAUCAAUUUCGUUAAACCCACUUUGAUUUCUUCUAUCAUGAAUGCAAAUAUGCAUUUCCUCUAUAAAGAGCCUGCUACAGACUAGCUUUGGUCUAAUUGAUCGAUAAUGACUGUUAUUAGAGAAUUCCUUUUCGAUGGAAAGAGAAUGUUGUUUUGUUUUGUAUUUAGUUAUUGUAUUGGUGACCAUACAAUACAUACGUUACAAUAUCCCUUUUUGCAGCAUCGAAUUCCAUUUAGCAUGAAAAAGUAUUUUUUGUCAAAUAAAUGAUUUGCAUCAUGCGACCAUGUUCCUUUUUUAUGCAGUUUGCCAAUAGCCUAUGGUUGAGUACUCCCUAUGGUGUUGAUCUUCUAAUUCAUUAACCAGAUUAUUUUUUGCGCCUUCUGGUUGCAUAUCCACUUUAGUAAUAAACUUAUAGUAGUACUAUGUGUUGUUUGUUAUCUACCUCGAUGCCGUACUGAUUUCUAUUUUUCACAAUUGCAGGCGCCAUAUUAGUGUUUCUUAUUAUCUACCUUGAUGCCAUACUAAUUUCUGUGAUUCCAAAAUUGCUGGCACCACUUCCUGUUGCCUGUUGGUGCAAGGACCCACGCCUUCCAUCUGAGAAAUCUUUGUGGGUGAGUGAAUGCAUGAUGAUGGCCGCUUGGUGUUCGCAUAAUACAAGGGAAGGAGCUGGUGAGCCAACUCUCAUGUACUUCACAUGAGCUGAAAGAGGCCAAGUGCUAAUCGCAAUGUAUGCUAAAUCUUAAGCAUUCAUCAGUAUUUUUGCUCUGGUCUAUGUCAGCUAACUCUCCCAUGUUGGUGUCGUAACUAUCAGAUGUUGUGUGUGUUUGAAACUUUAUGAAUUCUGGAAUUUUCUUUGUAAUGGUAUCGUGAAAUUAGUGUGGCUCUGUGUCAUUGUGUUUUGUAAUGUUUGCCUUUUAUUCAAUAUUAGCCGAAGCAAGAGAUUCUGAAGAAGAGAGUCAUAGAUACUCUUUCCCUAUACCCGUCAUCAAAUUAGUGUGCAUCAAACUGAAGUAUUUGUGGUUUAUGUAAUUUUGUAGUUACAAUGUGCAUCUUAAUUUAUCAUUGCUAUA